rnacentral:rRNA from 1 species
GUCCAGACUCCUACGGGAGGCAGCAGUGGGGGAUAUUGCACAAUGGGGGGAACCCUGAUGCAGCGACGCCGCGUGGGUGAAGGAGCGCCUCGGCGCGUAAAGCCCUGUCAGCAGGGAAGAAAAUGACGGUACCUGAAGAAGAAGCCCCGGCUAACUACGUGCCAGCAGCCGCGGUAAUACGUAGGGGGCAAGCGUUAUCCGGAUUUACUGGGUGUAAAGGGGGCGCAGACGGCGAUGCAAGCCAGGAGUGAGAGGCCGGGGGGCAACCCCGGGACUGCUCUUGGAACUGCGUGGCUGGAGUGCAGGAGGGGCAGGCGGAAUUCCUGGUGUAGCGGUGAAAUGCGUAGAUAUUAGGAGGAACACCAGUGGCGAAGGCGGCCCGCUGGACGAUGACUGACGUUGAGGCUCGAAAGCGUGGGGAGCAAACAGGAUUAGAUACCCCCGUAAA